UUAUAGUAUUAUUAAGAAUUUCAUUAAUACAUAUUUGUUUUAACUGUUAAAUGAUAAAAUCCAUGUAGACGUGCCCAGCAUAGUUUGUGUCAGGUAAGUAAUCAUUCAGCAAAUGUUACCUAGUACUGCUGUUGUUACUAUUACUACUUCUACAAGUACUACUACUGCUAGAAUGUUUACUAGUAACACAAAGAGCACUUUUACUUACCACUUUCUCAGUCAUUUCUCAGUCAAUUCUAACAGCAGUUCUAGAAUAGAAUGCUAAUAACAAUUUCCUGUGAUGAGAAAUGUGAGUGAAUUCGAACACGCUGGAAUUUAAUCUAAGAACCCAUAAUGGCAAUGUGCUUUGCUACUGAUGGAUUUGGGCAAAAUCAAUAUCAUUGCAAAGUAAACUUUGCUCACCUGCUGAUUUUGGUAGAUUCUAUACAGUUUUGUUUUCCUCAGGAAAGCCAUGCAGUACUCUUCAUGAAUAUCUAGAAAAGGUUCCAAAUGUACUUUGUGCUCUCGCCCUGAGUCAACAUCCACCGCCAAUCCUUCUCAUUUUGCUGAGGAAGACUGGCCCUGAGCUAACAUCUGUGCCCGUCUUCGUCUACUUUAUAUGUGGGAGGCCUGCGACAGCAUGGCUUGACAAGCAGUGCGUAGGUCUACACCCGGGAUCUAAACCAGCGAACCCCAGGCUGCUGAAGCAGAGCUCUCAAACCUAACCACUGCACCACCAGAUCAGCUCUCUGGCUUUCUUUUUUAUGGAAAAAAUUUUGAGAGAGAUUAAAUUUGAUAAGUAGAAUUCCUGCAUAAUUUAUUUCUCCACAAGUGUCAAAUGGAAGUAUCAGCCUGGAGUCCCAAGUACAUUGUUUGCUGAUACUUAAAUUAUUACUAGUACUAUUGUUAGUGCUUCUGUU
rnacentral:lncRNA from 1 species